UACGAAGGGGGGCUAGCGUUGCUCGGAAUCACUGGGCGUAAAGCGCACGUAGGCGGCUUUUUAAGUCAGGGGUGAAAUCCUGGAGCUCAACUCCAGAACUGCCUUUGAUACUGAGAAGCUUGAGUCCGGGAGAGGUGAGUGGAACUGCGAGUGUAGAGGUGAAAUUCGUAGAUAUUCGCAAGAACACCAGUGGCGAAGGCGGCUCACUGGCCCGGUACUGACGCUGAGGUGCGAAAGCGUGGGGAGCAAACAGG
rnacentral:rRNA from 1 species